GAUGAACGCUGGCGGCGUGCCUAAUACAUGCAAGUCGAGCGAACAGAUGAGGAGCUUGCUCCUCUGACGUUAGCGGCGGACGGGUGAGUAACACGUGGAUAACCUACCUAUAAGACUGGGAUAACUUCGGGAAACCGGAGCUAAUACCGGAUAAUAUAUUGAACCGCAUGGUUCAAUAGUGAAAGACGGUUUUGCUGUCACUUAUAGAUGGAUCCGCGCCGCAUUAGCUAGUUGGUAAGGUAACGGCUUACCAAAGCAACGAUGCGUAGCCGACCUGAGAGGGUGAGCAGCCACACUGGAACUGAGCCACGGUCCAGACUCCUACGGGAGGCAGCAGUAGGGAAUCUUCCGCAAUGGGCGAAAGCCUGACGGAGCAACGCCGCGUGAGUGAUGAAGGUCUUCGGAUCGUAAAACUCUGUUAUUAGGGAAGAACAAAUGUGUAAGUAACUAUGCACGUCUUGACGGUACCUAAUCAGAAAGCCACGGCUAACUACGUG
rnacentral:rRNA from 1 species